rnacentral:rRNA from 1 species
AUUGAACGCUGGCGGCAGGCUUAACACAUGCAAGUCGAACGAGUGGCGGACGGGUGAGUAAUGUCUGGGAAUCUGGCUUAUGGAGGGGGAUAACUACUGGAAACGGUAGCUAAUACCGCAUACCAUCGGAUGUGCCCAAUGGGGAUUAGGUAGUUGGUGGGGUAACGGCUCACCAAGCCGACGAUCCCUAGCUGGUCUGAGAGGAUGACCAGCAAACCUGGGACUGAGACACUGUCCAGACUCCUACGGGAGGCAGCAGUGGGGAAUAUUGCGCAAUGGGGGCAAGCCUGAUGCAGCCAUGCCGCGUGAAUGAAGAAGGCCUUCGGGUUGUAAAGUACUUUCAGUAGGGAGGCGUUACCCGCAGAAGAAGCACCGGCUAACUCCGUGCCAGCAGCCGCGGUAAUAC